rnacentral:rRNA from 1 species
AAUAUUGCACAAUGGGGGAAAUCCUGAUGCAGCGACGCCGCGUGAGGGAAGAAGUAUUUCUGUAUGUAAAGCUCUAUCAGCAGGGAAGAAAAUGACGGUACCUGACUAAGAAGCCCCGGCUAACUACGUGCCUGCAGCCGCUGUAAUACGUAGGGGGCAAGCGUCAUCCGGAUUUACUGGGUGUAAAGGGAGCGUAGGUGGUUUGGUAAACCAGAUGUGAAAGCCCGGGGCUCAACCCCGGGACUGCAUUUGAAACUAUCAAACUAGAGUGCAGGAGAGGUAAGUGGAAUUCCUAGUGUAGCGGUGAAAUGCGUAGAUAUUAGGAGGAACACCAGUGGCGAAGGCGGCUUACUGGACUGUAACUGACACUGAGGCUCGAAAGCGUGGGGAGCAAAC